GUUCUCGUAGCUCAGUCGGCUGGAGCAUUGGCUGUGCUUAAACCUUCACCUUGCUGGUGUGGGUUCAAAUCCCACCGAGGCUA
rnacentral:tRNA from 1 species